GCCCAUAGGGAGUGAGACUAUUAGGAGGUGUGGCCUUGUUGGAGGAAGUGUGUCAUUGUGGGGGAGGGCUUUGAGGUCUUAGAUGCUCAAGCUACAUCCAGUGAGUAAGUCCACUGCCUGCUGCCUG